rnacentral:RNase_P_RNA from 1 species
CCGGGCGAUCGUCGGCAGCCUUCGGGCUGCGGGAGGAAAGUCCGGACUCCGCAGGGCACCGUAGGAGGUAACGCCUCUCCGCCGUGAGGCGCGGAUUAGAGCAACAGAGACGAGUCGGUCUUCGGAUCGGGUGAAACGGGCAAUCUCUACGGGGAGCAACAUCAAAUAGGCAGCCACACGGACCGGCCCGGUUUCGGCUGCGGGUAGAUGGCUUGAGGCGGCGCGCGAGCGUCGUCCUAGAAGAAUGAUCGCCGUCGUCGGGCUCCCGACGAAACAGAAUCCGGCUUAUAGGGGA